UGUGAGCUCUGUGAGUCAAGAAGACAGCCAGUCCUGGACUCUGGGAACUGAGUUGCUGAUAUGAAGACACCCAGGUAACCGAGAUGGGCAGCCUGCCCAGCAGAGACAGUGUGACCACGGAGUACCAUGGGAACGUCACAAGAAAGGAAAGGACAUCGGGCCCCGCAGGCUGGUGGUGUGAUUGCCUUGACCACUUGCAUGCUCUCUUUUUAGGCCUCUUUUGGAGUACAGUCUGUGCGUGUGCCCAUUCUUCCCACUGACCCUGGGCACACUUGUGGGACAGUGUCCCCCAGGCUUGUGGAGGGAAUGUUUUGUUACUGCUGUUGAUGCUAUGGUAUUUCAGCAAAGCCUUUGAACUGAACUGUUUCCUUUUGCUGAUUUUUCAAGGUAAAUAAAUGCCGUGGUGGGGGCUUGUGAGCUAUAGUUUUAGAAGAAGGGUAUCUUGAACCUGGGGCAGUUGCCCCUGCGGGAAAGUGCAAGGUAAGGCACUGUGCCACACCGUUCAUGCCCAGUCAUCACCUAGCAGCCAAUUCUCUGACGUUCAGGUUCUUAGCACUUACGGAGAGGCUAAUCCUCUGAUGACAGACAUCUCUAGUCAAUUACUGGUACCCCACUUGAAACCUUUCCAGCUUCAUUGGACCUGCUCGUGCUUGUAUCACUGAUGUGACUCUGGGGAUGCCGGCGUUGCCUCUGUGCCCAGUGAGCAUGGCAGGAGGAUUGUGGCGUGGUUUCACAGUGGUGAAAAGACGCGGAGUCAGGAAGAGCUCUAUGUCCUCGCUGUGGGGCCAUUAGCCAAUCACUUUGUCUUCCAGGUUUCUAGUCCAUGUCCAGCUCCUGGUACUGCUUGGUAUUUUACCGUUCCUGCCUUUUGUAGCAGCUUGGAAUAAAAGAAUCAUCAAAAUCCAGGGGCAGGACAAAAGUCAAGAUGAGUGGCAAUGGCCCAGGAUGCACUGGAUGAUCUCUGAGGCGUGACCGAGCUCUAAGCGUUGCUGCUUCAGCCUCCUUCGUGGCCCUUGGAACAGAGUGUUUUCAUCCGCCUAUUUCUCAGGGAAGUCUUCUCAUGCUAAAGGCAGACAGCCCCCUAACUCAUGGGCAGUUUGAGGUCCGUUGGUUAUUCUCAACCUGUUUUAGCUUGUCUGCUGAGAGGUUUUACUGGGAUGUGGCCACCAUGCAUGGUCCAGCCUCUUGGAGCCAUAUGUGAGAGCUGGGUGAAGGUGGACCCCAAAUGUGUAUGAGCAUUCCUGAAAAGGGCUCGGCAAGCCCUCACACUAGAGGUGCUAGUCCUCCCAGGACACCCCUAGGAAAGUCAC